GACAGAAGGUGCAAGCGUUACUCGGAAUUACUGGGCGUAAAGCGUCUGUAGGUGUCCUGCCACGUCUGGCGUAAAAUUUCAGUGCUCAACACUGAACACGUGCCGGAAACGAGCGGGAUUGAGUCAUUCAGAGGUAUCUGGAAUGUCGUGUGUAGGGGUAAAAUCCGUAGAUACACGAUGGAACGCCAAAAGCGAAGGCAGGAUACUGGGAAUGCACUGACACUCAGAGACGAAAGCGUGGGGAGCAAAGGGG
rnacentral:rRNA from 1 species